rnacentral:rRNA from 1 species
CCCUUAGAUGUUCUGGGCCGCACGCGUGCUACACUGAGUGGAUCAGCGGGUCAGGUUGCGCGAAAGCGUUUCCUAAUCUUUAAAUCCGCUCGUGAUGGGGAUUGACGGUUGCAAUUUUCUGUCAUGGACGAGGAAUACCUUGUAAGCGCGGGUCAUCAUCCCGCGCUGAAUACGUCCCUGCCCUUUGUACACACCGCCCGUCGCUCCUACCGAUUGAGUGGUCCGGUGAGGCUUUGGGAUCUGAGCGGAAGGAGCGUUUCGCUGUUUCUGCUCGGAAAACUCAGUCGAACCUUAUCAUUUAGAGGAAGGAGAAGUCGUAACA